rnacentral:rRNA from 1 species
GGGUUGUGAGGUUAAGCGACUAAGCGUACACGGUGGAUGCCCUGGCAGUCAGAGGCGAUGAAGGGCGUGCUAAUCUGCGAUAAGCGCCGGUAAGGUGAUAUGAACCGUUAUAACCGGCGAUACCCGAAUGGGGAAACCCAGUGUGAUUCGUCACACUAUCAUUAACUGAAUCCAUAGGUUAAUGAGGCGAACCGGGGGAACUGAAACAUCUAAGUACCCCGAGGAAAAGAAAUCAACCGAGAUUCCCCCAGUAGCGGCGAGCGAACGGGGAGGAGCCCAGAGCCUGAAUCAGCAUGUGUGUUAGUGGAAGCGUCUGGAAAGGCGCGCGAUACAGGGUGACAGCCCCGUACACAAAAGCGCAUGUGUUGUGAGCUCGAUGAGUAGGGCGGGACACGUGGUAUCCUGUCUGAAUAUGGGGGGACCAUCCUCCAAGGCUAAAUACUCCUGACUGACCGAUAGUGAACCAGUACCGUGAGGGAAAGGCGAAAAGAACCCCGGCGAGGGGAGUGAAAAAGAACCUGAAACCGUGUACGUACAAGCAGUGGGAGCACAGGUUUACCUGUGUGACUGCGUACCUUUUGUAUAAUGGGUCAGCGACUUAU